GACGAACGCUGGCGGCGUGCUUAACACAUGCAAGUCGAACGGUGAAGCGCCUUCCUUUUUGGUGGGUGUGGAUGAGUGGCGAACGGGUGAGUAACACGUGAGUAACCUGCCCCCUUCUUCUGGAUAACCGCAUGAAAGUGUGGCUAAUACGGGAUAUUCUGGGUCUGUCGCAUGAUGGGUCUGGGAAAGAUAUUGUUUCGGUGGGGGAUGGGCUCGCGGCCUAUCAGCUUGUUGGUGGGGUGAUGGCCUACCAAGGCGGUGACGGGUAGCCGGCCUGAGAGGGUGGACGGUCACACUGGGAAUGAGACACGGCCCGGACCCCUACGGGAGGCAGCAGUGGAGAAUAUUGCACAAGGGGCGCAAGCCUGAUGCAGCGACGCCGCGUGAGGGAUGGAGGCCUUCGGGUUGUGAACCUCUUUCGCCAGUGAAGCAGGCCUGCCUCGUUUGUGGGUGGGUUGACGGUAGCUUGAUAAGAAGCGCCGGCUAACUACGUG
rnacentral:rRNA from 1 species